GCCUCGGGCGCAACCUCCCACCCGUGACUACCUAACACUGUUGCUUCGGCGGGGAGCCCUCUCGGGGGCGAGCCGCCGGGGACUACUGAACUUCAUGCCUGAGAGUGAUGCAGUCUGAGUCUGAAUAUAAAAUCAGUCAAAACUUUCAACAAUGGAUCUCUUGGUUCCGGCAUCGAUGAAGAACGCAGCGAACUGCGAUAAGUAAUGUGAAUUGCAGAAUUCAGUGAAUCAUCGAGUCUUUGAACGCACAUUGCGCCCCCUGGCAUUCCGGGGGGCAUGCCUGUCCGAGCGUCAUUGCUGCCCAUCAAGCCCGGCUUGUGUGUUGGGUCGUCGUCCCCCCCGGGGGACGGGCCCGAAAGGCAGCGGCGGCACCGUGUCCGGUCCUCGAGCGUAUGGGGCUUUGUCACCCGCUCGAUUAGGGCCGGCCGGGCGCCAGCCGACGUCUCCAACCAUUUUCUUCAGGUUGACCUCGGAUCAGGUAGGGAUACCCGCUGAACUUAAGCAUAUCAAUAAGCA
rnacentral:rRNA from 1 species